rnacentral:rRNA from 1 species
GAUGAACGCUGGCGGCGUGCCUAAUACAUGCAAGUCGAGCGAACAGACGAGGAGCUUGCUCCUCUGACGUUAGCGGCGGACGGGUGAGUAACACGUGGAUAACCUACCUAUAAGACUGGGAUAACUUCGGGAAACCGGAGCUAAUACCGGAUAAUAUAUUGAACCGCAUGGUUCAAUAGUGAAAGACGGUUUUGCUGUCACUUAUAGAUGGAUCCGCGCCGCAUUAGCUAGUUGGUAAGGUAACGGCUUACCAAGGCGACGAUGCGUAGCCGACCUGAGAGGGGGAUCCGCCAACCCGGGACUGGGACCCGGUCCCGGCUCCUACGGGGGGCCGCAGUAGGGCAUCUUCCGGAAUGGGGGAAAACCUGGAGGGGGAACGCCGCGUGAGUGAAGAAGGUCUUCGGAUCGUAAAACUCUUUUGUUUGGGAAAAAAAAAUGGGAAAGGAACUUGGCCCGUCUUGGCGGUUCCUUAUCAAAAAACCCCGGCUAACUACG